UGAUGCUACGAGUAUGAGCAUACUCGUGCAGUAAUGAGAUUUUGACAAUCUGAUUGAAAAGGGCACAACUUUUAUGUUAUAUGAAAAUGACCGAAAUUAGGUGAAAAAAUUUCCAGAUCCUUGAUCUCCAUCCAGUAGUAGUCUUACUAGGGUAUAUCAUUGUAAAUAAUAUGAAGUCAUGAAAGUAUUAUUCCUUUCCAAUUUUUUUAAUAUUUUACAAAUUUUUGAUAAAGAGCAUUACAUUUUUUAAGGGAUUUAUAAUAAGCGAUUAUACGUUGAUUUGAAUUUUUUAGAAUUUUUCAGUUAAAAAAACAAGCAAGUACAAAAAUAUCCUAAUGCUUAUUUACCAUUUGUAUUUUAAUAAAGUAUAAUUUGAAUAUUUCAAAAAUUAUUUUCUGUGAUGACAUUUUUUUCAUUAAUGAGUUUAUAUUUCUUAAUUCAGUAAGUUUUGAUCGAUUUAAAAUGCAGACAGUCUGUUACUACUCGGUUAAUAUGGUAAACUGUUGAGAAAAGUAGGGUAGGAAAAGGCUAAAUUUAUGGAAUCUUUUUAUUUUAUGCUGAAAUGUAUUUCUUUAUCAUGUUAUUUCUAAAUUAUAAGAAAAAGAUGGCUGCUAUACUUAUUUAUUUUAUACUUCUUUACAUCAUUAAUUUGUCAUUGUCUCAGUUAUAAAAGUGGAAUAUUUAUGUGAUUGCAUGAUAAAGAGAAAUGUGGAAUGGUGAUGAAUAGUGAUGAAUUCCUAACAUUCAGGGUAAAUGUGAUAUGCUUGAUUUUUUGUUUCUGUAUAUUUGAUGUUAAUAUAUAAUUGUUGUUCAUUCAUUCUUUGUUUUGAUAUUAUUAACUACAAAAUAUUAGGAAAUAAAAAUGAAUAUUAU
rnacentral:lncRNA from 1 species